GCCGUCCUUUCAUAUACUUUUUGAAAAUCAUUGCUUUGUACCUUUUUUUGAACUGGAUUGAAUUUAAUAUGAAUUAGUUUGAACAUUUUUGUGUUUUUAUUUGUGAGGUCUGACUGUUAGCAGGCGUGGCGUUUCCACUCUGAUGACUCCUGUAAAACGAAUGUCAGGUCAAACUGUUGAUAUGCCAAGUAACACUGGUAGUUCCACCUCUACUUACCUAACACCAGUGAAACAAGCACCAGAAACGUGGAUAUUGAAGUUUGUAGCAGUUGUGACUGGUUGUGGAGUCAUUGUUGGCGUCAUCUUGCUGGUUUCUGCAAUUCUCUACAACAAAAAAGCUGCAUCUGUUCCACCU